GGGUGAGUAAUGUCUGGGAAACUGCCUGAUGGAGGGGGAUAACUACUGGAAACGGUAGCUAAUACCGCAUAACGUCGCAAGACCAAAGAGGGGGACCUUCGGGCCUCUUGCCAUCAGAUGUGCCCAGAUGGGAUUAGCUAGUAGGUGGGGUAACGGCUCACCUAGGCGACGAUCCCUAGCUGGUCUGAGAGGAUGACCAGCCACACUGGAACUGAGACACGGUCCAGACUCCUACGGGAGGCAGCAGUGGGGAAUAUUGCACAAUGGGCGCAAGCCUGAUGCAGCCAUGCCGCGUGUAUGAAGAAGGCCUUCGGGUUGUAAAGUACUUUCAGCGGGGAGGAAGGGAGUAAAGUUAAUACCUUUGCUCAUUGACGUUACCCGCAGAAGAAGCACCGGCUAACUCCGUGCCAGCAGCCGCGGUAAUACGGAGGGUGCAAGCGUUGAUCGGAAUUACUGGGCGUAAAGCGCACGCAGGCGGUUUGUUAAGUCAGAUGUGAAAUCCCCGGGCUCAACCUGGGAACUGCAUCUGAUACUGGCAAGCUUGAGUCUCGUAGAGGGGGGUAGAAUUCCAGGUGUAGCGGUGAAAUGCGUAGAGAUCUGGAGGAAUACCGGUGGCGAAGGCGGCCCCCUGGACGAAGACUGACGCUCAGGUGCGAAAGCGUGGGGAGCAAACAGGAUUAGAUACCCUGGUAGUCCACGCCGUAAACGAUGUCGACUUGGAGGUUGUGCCCUUGAGGCGUGGCUUCCGGAGCUAACGCGUUAAGUCGACCGCCUGGGGAGUACGGCCGCAAGGUUAAAACUCAAAUGAAUUGACGGGGGCCCGCACAAGCGGUGGAGCAUGUGGUUUAAUUCAAUGCAACGCGAAGAACCUUACCUGGUCUUGACAUCCACGGAAGUUUUCAGAGAUGAGAAUGUGCCUUCGGGAACCGUGAGACAGGUGCUGCAUGGCUGUCGUCAGCUCGUGUUGUGAAAUGUUGGGUUAAGUCCCGCAACGAGCGCAACCCUUAUCCUUUGUUGCCAGCGGUCCGGCCGGGAACUCAAAGGAGACUGCCAGUGAUAAACUGGAGGAAGGUGGGGAUGACGUCAAGUCAUCAUGGCCCUUACGACCAGGGCUACACACGUGCUACAAUGGCGCAUACAAAGAGAAGCGACCUCGCGAGAGCAAGCGGACCUCAUAAAGUGCGUCGUAGUCCGGAUUGGAGUCUGCAACUCGACUCCAUGAAGUCGGAAUCGCUAGUAAUCGUGGAUCAGAAUGCCACGGUGAAUACGUUCCCGGGCCUUGUACACACCGCCCGUCACACCAUGGGAGUGGGUUGCAAAAGAAGUAGGUAGCUUAACCUUCGGGAGGGCGCUUACCACUUUGUGAUUCAUGACUGGGGUGAAGUCC
rnacentral:rRNA from 1 species